GAUGAACGCUGGCGGCGUGCCUAAUACAUGCAAGUCGAACGCAGUGGGGCCGGGUGAGUAACCCGUGGGUAACCUCCCAUCAGAGGGGAUAACACUUGGAAACAGGUGCUAAACCGAUACUGAUGGAUGAACCCGUGGUGCAUUAGCUAGGUGGCGAGGUAACGGCUCACCAAGGCAACGAUGCAUAGCCGGUCUGAGAGGAUGAUCAGUAACACGGGGACUGAGAGACGGCCCAGACUCCUACGGGAGGAAGCAGUAGGGAAUCUUGGGCAAUGGGCGAAAGUCUGACCGAGCAACGCCGCGUGAGUGAAGAAGGUUUUAGGAUCGUAAAACUCUGUUGUGAGAGAAGCGGUAUCUAACCAGAAAGCCACGGCUAACUACGUGCCAGCAGCCGCGGUAAUAC
rnacentral:rRNA from 1 species